UCUUUCAGUUUAAAUGAAAUUUAGAAACAAGAGUGUGUCGUUAGUUUUGCUUGUUGUCAAUUUCGUUCCUUUUCGUGUUUGUUUUGUGAAAUUUCUAUCAAGUAAACAGGUGGCAAGAUUAUCCUUCUCUUUAGUUCUACGAUGUGAAACGAUUUUCGUUUUUUUUUUGUUACUUAUCUGUGUAUUUGGUGAUUAUUCGUUUAUUCGCCAUAUUGCUGAAAAAUUGAAAAGAAAAAAUCAUGACAUCAUUAUGCAUAUAUACAUUGAAGAAGAUAACCCUGACGGUGCUAAAAUUUGAUUGACCGGAUUAAUUACCUUCCUGAAUCUGAUGGUCUCUCAAAUACAACUCCGUAUUUGCGUAUUUGAGUUGUCCAAAGAAGCUGCAGUAUGCUGAAAGUUGGAAUAAAAGUUGCAAAGGUACAUUAAAGAAAGAAGUAAAAGGGCACGAUAAACGAGAUAAUGACGAUAAAUGAUCAUGUUGCUCGAGAACCGAGAGCACCAUUAGUCAAAGCAGUUUUAGAAAAGUUUGUCAGGAGUGAUC